rnacentral:rRNA from 1 species
AACGCUGGCGGCGUGCCUAAUACAUGCAAGUCGAACGAGUUCUCGUUGAUGAUCGGUGCUUGCACCGAGAUUCAACAUGGAACGAGUGGCGGACGGGUGAGUAACACGUGGGUAACCUGCCCUUAAGUGGGGGAUAACAUUUGGAAACAGAUGCUAAUACCGCAUAGAUCCAAGAACCGCAUGGUUCUUGGCUGAAAGAUGGCGUAAGCUAUCGCUUUUGGAUGGACCCGCGGCGUAUUAGCUAGUUGGUGAGGUAAUGGCUCACCAAGGCGAUGAUACGUACCCGAACUGAGAGGUUGAUCGGCCACAUUGGGACUGAGACACGGCCCAAACUCCUACGGGAGGCAGCAGUAGGGAAUCUUCCACAAUGGACGCAAGUCUGAUGGAGCAACGCCGCGUGAGUGAAGAAGGCUUUCGGGUCGUAAAACUCUGUUGUUGGAGAAGAAUGGUCGGCAGAGUAACUGUUGUCGGCGUGACGGUAUCCAACCAGAAAGCCACGGCUAACUACGUGCCAGCAGCCGCGGUAAUACGUAGGUGGCAAGCGUUAUCCGGAUUUAUUGGGCGUAAAGCGAGCGCAGGCGGUUUUUUAAGUCUGAUGUGAAAGCCCUCGGCUUAACCGAGGAAGCGCAUCGGAAACUGGGAAACUUGAGUGCAGAAGAGGACAGUGGAACUCCAUGUGUAGCGGUGAAAUGCGUAGAUAUAUGGAAGAACACCAGUGGCGAAGGCGGCUGUCUGGUCUGUAACUGACGCUGAGGCUCGAAAGCAUGGGUAGCGAACAGGAUUAGAUACCCUGGUAGUCCAUGCCGUAAACGAUGAAUGCUAGGUGUUGGAGGGUUUCCGCCCUUCAGUGCCGCAGCUAACGCAUUAAGCAUUCCGCCUGGGGAGUACGACCGCAAGGUUGAAACUCAAAGGAAUUGACGGGGGCCCGCACAAGCGGUGGAGCAUGUGGUUUAAUUCGAAGCAACGCGAAGAACCUUACCAGGUCUUGACAUCUUUUGAUCACCUGAGAGAUCAGGUUUCCCCUUCGGGGGCAAAAUGACAGGUGGUGCAUGGUUGUCGUCAGCUCGUGUCGUGAGAUGUUGGGUUAAGUCCCGCAACGAGCGCAACCCUUAUGACUAGUUGCCAGCAUUUAGUUGGGCACUCUAGUAAGACUGCCGGUGACAAACCGGAGGAAGGUGGGGAUGACGUCAAAUCAUCAUGCCCCUUAUGACCUGGGCUACACACGUGCUACAAUGGAUGGUACAACGAGUUGCGAGACCGCGAGGUCAAGCUAAUCUCUUAAAGCCAUUCUCAGUUCGGACUGUAGGCUGCAACUCGCCUACACGAAGUCGGAAUCGCUAGUAAUCGCGGAUCAGCACGCCGCGGUGAAUACGUUCCCGGGCCUUGUACACACCGCCCGUCACACCAUGAGAGUUUGUAACACCCGAAGCCGGUGGCGUAACCCUUUUAGGGAGCGAGCCGUCUAAGGUGG